UAGUUGUUGGAGUGUAAGUCGCUCUGGAUAAGAGCGUCUGCUAAAUGACGUAAA
rfam:Salmo salar isolate Sally breed double haploid chromosome ssa18, whole genome shotgun sequence.